GACGAACGCUGGCGGCGUGCUUAACACAUGCCAGUCGAACGGAAAGGCCUCUUUCGGGGGGUACUCGAGUGGCGAACGGGUGAGUAACACGUGAGUAACCUGCCCUUGACUUUGGGAUAACUUCAGGAAACUGGGGCUAAUACCGGAUAGGAGCUCCUGCUGCAUGGUGGGGGUUGGAAAGUUUCGGCGGUUGGGGAUGGACUCGCGGCUUAUCAGCUUGUUGGUGGGGUAGUGGCUUACCAAGGCUUUGACGGGGAGCCGGCCUGGGAGGGUGACCGGCCACAUGGGGGCUGGGGUACGGCCCAGACUCCUACGGGAGGCAGCAGUGGGGAAUAUUGCACAAUGGGUGGAAGCCUGAUGCAGCAACGCCGUGUGCGGGAUGACGGCCUUCGGGUUGGAAACCGCUUUCGCUCAUGACGAAGCUUUGUGUGACGGUAGUGGGUAAAGAAGCACCGGCUAACUACGUG
rnacentral:rRNA from 1 species